UGGGGAAUAUUGGACAAUGGGCGCAAGCCUGAUCCAGCCAUGCCGCGUGAGUGAUGAAGGCCCUAGGGUUGUAAAGCUCUUUCACCGGUGAAGAUAAUGACGGUAACCGGAGAAGAAGCCCCGGCUAACUUCGUGCCAGCAGCCGCGGUAAUACGAAGGGGGCUAGCGUUGUUCGGAUUUACUGGGCGUAAAGCGCACGUAGGCGGACUAUUAAGUCAGGGGUGAAAUCCCGGGGCUCAACCCCGGAACUGCCUUUGAUACUGGUGGUCUUGAGUUCGAGAGAGGUGAGUGGAAUUCCGGGUGUAGAGGUGAAAUUCGUAGAUAUUCGGAGGAACACCAGUGGCGAAGGCGGCUCACUGGCUCGAUACUGACGCUGAGGUGCGAAAGCGUGGGGAGCAAACAGG
rnacentral:rRNA from 1 species